GACUUUAAUGCUCAAUCAAAUUGAGUUAAUUAGUGAUCUAAUCACUAACUAAUCCCCUAAUAAUGAUAGAGUCCCAAUCUAGUGGGACUCUUCACCAGAGUCUCCAUCUAGUGGGACUCUUCACCAGAGUCCCAGUCCAAUGGGACUCUUCAGAUCAGCCAUCUUAUCAGAGAAGAACUAAUGUGUGUGAUCCUAUAGGUUUGAACCUAAGCUGGUAGCAUAGAAAUAGAUUUUUAUACCAAUCAAAGUAACCAUCUGUAAUGAUACCCGAUGUUCGGAUAGGUCGAAUGUAUGC
rnacentral:lncRNA from 1 species